ensembl:lncRNA
GAGAAAUACGAAGAGAAAUGCAGUUCCACCAGAGUCCAAAUUCCCCUGGCCUCUGCAAGCUAGUCAGUAUUUCUCAGACUGAGCAGAAGGAAAAAAAUGAAUCCCGAAAUAGAUACAAAUCUAAAAAUUAGAUCCCAUUGCUGCUGUGUGGGUCCAUCAGGCUCAGCAUAGCUUUUCACUGGCAUCAGCAAUCAUGAGAUUUGCCCCAGGAAUGUCCAGGAACCAGCUGCACACCCAAGUCAACAAAGCCACUGCUUCUGCCAGCGCUAAACAGAGGUACAGGAAGGUGUAAAUCCUGAGCCUAAGUGUUCAAAGGGGUUGCCUCAACUACUCCACAAACCUAUAGGCAUCCACAGAAAAAUCACCUUUGUGUGCCUGAGCAACUUGUCUACACCAUCUCUGUAUGUUGCUUUCCUCUCCUGUCAGUUCUGCCAGUUAUAUUGAGUGUAAAAGCCUGGUUCCAGUUAUCUGUCCCACAUUUAGCAACCAUGCUCUCAUUGCUCUUGAGCUGCAGCAGAGAGGACGGGACCAAGUUGGUCGAAGAAUCUCUAGCUCCUCUGUAGCUCAGCACUCUCUAGGUAAAAUACUGAACAAAAAAAGAAGGGGAGCCUGCCAGUGAAGAAGUCCAAACAGAGAAGGCAGUGGAUAUUCUACUCUUUCCAAGUCAUUACUUCACUCAGCACAGCCUGUUAUUUGGAGAGCCCAUGGAAAGCUGUCCAGGCAGGGAAGCAUGCUGUUGCUGAGAGGUCUGCCUCUAUCCGUCAGUAAUGGGUGCUUGUGUGAGCAGAGCAUUUGCAAGGAAUUUUACAAGGCUGCAAAGUCCUGCCUGCUCUAAAAUUAAAGAUCUGAAUUCAGCAGAGCAAAUGGAUAUUACCUUGACUUGAAAGUGUUGAAAUUUCUGGAACUUGAGGUCUUGCUUGUAGUAUCUACUGAUGGAUGACAUCUAUUUCAAAGCAAAAAUUCACUCAUCCCUACCUGAAUGGGCUCCUCGGUCACGGGGAUCAUGACCUCUUAGGAGGUAAGUCCCACACCAAGUCCAACUGGCUAAUCUUGGUGCAUGGUUAGCAAUGGGGACGGUGACUCAAUAUUUACAUCCUGUUUCUCCAACUUGAUGGAAAGAAAUUCUAACAAAAAAAUAAAAUAAUAAAAUAAAAUAAAAUAAAAUAAAAUAAAAUAAAAUAAAAUAAAAUAAAAUAAAAUAAAAUACUUGAUCCCUUUGACCCAUUGAGGUCAAUGGAAAAACUCCCAUAGAUGUGAUAUGGACUCAGAUAAAGACUUAGUCUCCAUUUCCAUUGAUGGUAUGGAUGUUCAGCCACUGAAAUGAUAAAAAGAGACACAUAUGCUGAAUUAGAAAAAUUCUCAUUUCACAAAUUGCUCAGAUACAAAUUUUUAGUUUGUUAUUUUCUACAUGAACAAAUGAAAGAUAAAUGGAAAUGAUCUCUAAAUUCUUGUCUCAGUACACUGAAGAGAGAGCAAGAACAUCAGGUUGCUAGAACUGAUGGCUGAAGGAACUCUGUUCAUCCCAAAUUUUCAGCCAGUUAUUUCAUUUCAUUUGAUCACCAUCCAUUUAGUUUUGUUAAAUGGAAGAAAACUCAUUGUUUAAUAUUAAUAUUAAUAAUAAAUAUUAUGGACAUUGACCAAUCAAUCAAACUUGGAUGGGCUCAGAGCAAGUAUUUGUGAACUGUGAGCAAAGAUUUCUAUGUCAUGCAGUGGAGGUGUACGUUCAUGGACUGGGAAUUUAGGCUUCUGCUAACAAGAUACCUCCAAUCCUUUUCUGCUCAGUGAUUCUUCCUGCUCAUGGAAAGUAGCGUGCUGUAGUGGGAUGGGGAGAGAGAGGAGAUAGUGCCCUGCAGAACUGGACCCGGUGAGGAUGUGGAUCAAGACUCAGGAAUUAAGGAGUAUUCUUGUACUGCCACUUUAGCUGUAAUCAGAGAAUCUCUUUGAAAUCCUACUUUAAGUGAAAAAUUAAAGGUGUACAUUUGUGGAAGUAACUCCAAAUUCAAGGUUCUAAAGUAAAGAAAUGCAAAGUGGGCAGCAAAAUACAUGUGCCAGACACCUCAGACUGGAGUGACUAAAAAACACUUUCUAGCAAGUGCUGGGUGGGACUUUGCUGAUUUAGUGGGCUCCAGAUUGGAAACAAAGAAAUACCUACACCACAAAUGCCUUCCUUGUUGUGAAGGCUUCUUCAUAUCUAUUUCUCCUGUCCGUACAACAGUUGCAGCACUUAUUCAGUGGAACAGAAACAAAGACACUUAGAAGGUUUUCCAGACAUUUAAUCAACCAUCAUCUUCAUGGAAAGAUAGACAAGGUGUAAUUCCGAAUAAAUUCUUAGGAACAUGGACAGAGCUAAGAUCACUGUAAGGUUGCAUUAAUGAAAGGAUGUUUGAAUAUGGUCAUUGGCAGUGCACCUUUACUGACACUUCAUUCAGCACUAAAACUCCCACUGGGAGCAGCUAUGACAAAUAGACAUACAUGCAUACCACAGAUUAUACUGGGAAUCUUGGGUGCUCCUUUGAAUGGAGAGUGCCAAAAGGCAAAAGACCUCCAGAAGAGCUGACAUUCCGUAUUACACAUUUUUUUUCCAUAAAUCAUAUAUUCGCAAAGGCUCUUCUUCAGGUUGUUUUUGUUUCUUUUGUUUUUGUUUUUGUUUUAUCCUCUCCAUACUUUCAGUCCACAAAGAAAGAAGUAAAAAGAUAAUCCUGAACUCCAGUAUGGACUGCUUUGUUCAUGGUUCAGAUGAAUUCUCCUGCUUUAAGAACAAAAAUUUGAUGAAUUUCCUUAUACUGAAAAUGGUGAUGGUAACUGUUAGAUCAGUAAUGGCAAAAUGUUUAUCUAAACAAGUCCUAUAUUUCUGAUAUAAAAUGCCUCAGUGUGUGUCUGCAGAUUUAUAGAAGGGGGAGAAAGGGAAAGAUUGAGUCCAUGGUGAGAGAGGAAAAGAAAAUAAGGACCCUCUGCAUGAUGUUUGCAGUAAAUUUCUCAGGCAGCUGAUGUUUAUACCAGCACUGUUCCCAUCAGAUUAAGGCACGUAAUGUAGGGACAUAAUCACCCUUAACUUCCCCUCGUAAUCAAGGGGUAAAAGCAGUCACACUGAUAUCCUGUGAUGUGUGCUCUGAAUUCUGAAGCUCUAAACAGAGUAUUCUGUAGAAUUUCCUUACGCCACUAACUAUAGAGGAUUCUAUGGUUGACCAAUUUCACUAUAGACUGAGGCAAUUAUUUGUGCCAGAUGGGAAGCCAGCCCAUAGAUGUAUUGCUCUGCAACAGAGGCUUGUCUCCAUGUUCAAACUAAAAUGUUGCCUUACUGCUCCAUCAAGCACAGCAUGGAAUGGAAAUACACAGCAAAAUCUUCUGUCUUCAGCCCUAAGCUUUUCUGAAUGAUAAAGAUGAUAAAGAGCCUGGAGCAUCUCCCGUAUGAGGAAAGGCUGAGUAACAUGGGUCUGUUUAACCUAGGGAAAAGAAGACUUAGAAGGGAUCUGAUUAAUGUUUAUAAAUAUCUAAAGGGAGGUGGGAAGCAAAUGAAUGAGGCCAGGCUCUUCUUAGUGGUGCGUAGUGAUAGGACAAGGAGUAAUGGCCUAAAACCUGAGCAUAGGAAGUUCUGUACUAACAUGUGGAAGAACUUCUUUACAGUAAGAGUGAUAGAGCACUGGAUCAGGCUGCCCAGAGAAGUUGUGGAGUCUCUUUCUCCAGGGAUAUUCAGGGAUAUUCAAGAACUAUUUCAACGCCCACCUGUGUGACCUGUUGUAGGGAACCUGCUUUAGCAGGGGUUGGACUCUUGAGGUCUCUUCCAAUUCCUGCAAUUCUGUGAUUCUGUGGGUAGAGAUUAAAAAUAAGAUAUAACAUUAUGUAAGAGAACACAGGAUAGAACAAACUUUAGUAUCAAGGAGAGGAUUUUGAAAGACAUAAGUCAUGCUGAAACAAAAGUGCUGCUGAAGGUGUUGUGUGUCUUUCUGCUCUUUAUAACUCCAGAAAUGUUCUUUCUCUAUAGCAAAUCCCAACUAAUUGGUCAAUUGAUCAAAAUAUAUUUCUUUUUUCACAAAAAUGUCUUAACAAAACCAAUUUGUAGAAACUCGUCAAACAUUUAUAUGGGGUGAUGCUUAUGAGAAAGUGAAAAAUAUUUAUGUUUUCAGAUUUUCAAGGAAAUCUGAACUAUUUCCAUGAACUUUCAUUUCACUUUGCCUGCAGAAGUGUUUUUUAUUACGCUUUUCAUCAAAUGAAUGAACUGAAAAUGUGAUUAGCUAAUUUAUUCUGGUAAAGAAAUAAUCAUACAGCAAUGCAGCAUUUUGAAAUAUUUCUAUGAAGCAGAUGGAAUGUGUUUGGUUUUUUUCCAGCUCUUAUGAUGUUGUGCAAAUACGUUGUCCCUUUCUUGUUGACUGCAACCUUAUUAAAGUAAAUGCAAUAGGUGAUGUGGCAAGGAUGAGCCAUAAAAACGUGCCAGAGAGGAUGAAAUCUGCAUGCCUGAAGCCAGGUACAGUCACGUGCAAAUUAGCAUUGUCCACAUUAACCUUAAUUUCCCAAAAUAAAACAGAAGAAGGCCUUAGUUACAAUACUGUUACUGCUCUCCGUUGCCAAAUUUCUGCCCACAGUGUAGUUUUAUGGAGAAUUCUGUGAGUUCAGAAAAUAAGUUUUGUGGAAAAGCUGCCAAAAAGAGAGCCUGCCCAUACUAGUAUAAACAUUGUUCUUACUGCUAUACAAAACUGCUUUGUAUAGUGCUGGAGGCUACCUCGGUGAUUUCUGAGAUGGCACUGUCUUCAUUACAAAUGCUCUGAAGGCAGUAGUUGUAGUUUGUGUGGCUCAGUAGAAAUAGCAGUAACCUACAGCCUACUGAAAUUCUGUGGCUGACCAAGAGUGCAGUUAUUCUUUAAUUGACAGUGGAAGAGUUCAAAGGGAAACCAGAAGCAGUCUCAAAAAAGCAACGAAAUGCGGCACAUCUGGGAGUGUGUAUAAAUCCACACUGUGUAUGAAGCCAUGAUCCUCAAAACUAAGGUCUUGUCUUUAGCCAGUGUACACACACACACACAGUGUAUGUAUAAGCACUAGUGGUGGCAACAGACAACCAUCAGCAGCUCAGACCCAAUAUCUGAAUUGUUGUUCUGUUAUUAAGCUACUCUUAUAAAGAAAGAACUGUUUCAUCCUCCUCCUCCUCACCCUUCACGAUAUCAGCAUCCCAUCUGACACCAUCAAGGGUGUAAUUUCCUUCACUUCAGACACUUUGAAAAUUUAACUGAGAAUAAAUGUUAUCUCUUUCACUGGUUGUAUAAGCAACCACAGCAAUUAUAUAACUGCCCAACUUCCUUUCAGGAUAAAAUGCACAUAGAGCGAUAGAAAGAAACAUAAGGAGAUCCAGAAUAUGUAUUUUUCCUGAGAAACUAACUCAACAAUUCCAACUAUAAAAAUGAAAGUAAAGCAAAGUUUAAAAAUACUGCAAUAUGAAGAAAAUAAAAUAUGAAGAAAAUAGACUCACUGCAUAUCACAGUCUGGCUGCAUUUGGACAAGAAAUCCUCUCCCACCAAAUCCAAACUCUGCAGUCCUUGCAUAAAUCAAUGACUUCAUCUUUGGUGACUCACUGCCUACAAUAUUUAUAUUCAGCAGACUGUUCCUCGUGGGAAAGUGUCUGUGCUGCUGGGACCUAUAUCUCUUCCUGAUCCUUAUAGACAAAGACAAAGUAAAGAGGAUGUUCUCUCACCUUGCCUUAAUUCCACACGCUUUGCACAUUAUCCCAGUUGGAUUUCUGUCCUCGAUUUCAUAACAGUGUUGAACAGUUCUUUGUCUCCUGAGAAACUUCAUCUUCAUGUUGAGGGAAUAGUGGGGAGAAGAACGUAUGUGAGUGCGUUCAUGUCCAUGAUGUGAAUCCUCUUGGUAGACUGUUAUAGCGCGUUACCCUGAGAUAACAGGAAGGCUGAAAGAUAAGUACUUACUAAAUGUGAGAUGGCAGUGGUGCAUGCAAUAUUCAUUUAGCUUCAGAGCCUGUAAGAGUGAUGAUGCAUUCUUUCAUUACAUGCUCAUACACUCUUUCUCGGAUACUCUCUCCCAUUUUUGGUUAUGUUUUCCUUUUAUCUGAGCUGGUCACCCAAGGCUCCCUUUAUAGUCAAUAAGAAUAAACUGGCAUUUCUGCAAUGCAAUUCAUCUCAUCUGAAAACAGACAACUAAACUAUGACAGCUGAAUCACACUUUGAAAGUACGCUUCAGUCAUUUACACCUGCAUAAGAUAUAGCCACGUGGCCUGAUUUAGCUCACAAUUGCCCCAUAUGAAAGGCAGGAUAAAGGACAAUCCAACUCAUCCAUUUCCAUUCCUCUUUAAACUUCAAGGCAGUAAUGUGAGUUAUCUCUAAAAUAUUUCUGAGAGAUGAAAAGAAAGCCAAACUGGCAGAGAAAAUUGCUUACAAUUUCCCUCAUUUCUGUAGAUCAUUGAAUGCGCCACAUUAUCUUUAUGAAAG